CGAGGCCCGGAGCGCGUUUCUGGCUCACGUGAGAUCAUUGACAGAACCAUGUCAAUGAAAAGUGUGAAAUUUUCAUGUGUUGAAUUCUGGGCCAUCAUUAAGUUUCUGUUCCUGCAGAAGGAAACUCCAAAGGGAAUCCUUGAGUAUAUGAUGCCAACAUUGAGUGACAAGUGCUCAUCAUACCCAACUGUGAAAAAGUGGUGUGCCGAUUUUCAUUGUGGAUAUUCUGAGACUUAGGAUGUAGCAAGAACUGGGAGGCCUUCAACAUUGUCAGCUCCUGAAAUUGUUGAUCAUGUUCAAGAUCUGUAGUCUGUUGUUGAUAACCCUUGGAUUGGCAGGGUGGGUUAAACGAUAAUGCACAGUGAGAGCUAUGUGUUCUCUUCCGCCCAAGUUCUUGAAAGGCUUUUAUCCAUGUACUCAUAAUGUUUUCAUAUUUCAUGUUGAAAUGAGGUUUCUGGCCAUCCUGUAUCAUGAGGUCUGUAUCUGGAUCCUAUAUUUCAGGUAUAAGAUUCUGCAGCCAGUAGCUGUUUACAAACAUCUCUAAUAAAGUGUUUACAAAUA